CCUACGGGGGGCAGCAGUGGGGGAUAUUGCACAAUGGGGGGAACCCUGAUGCAGCGACGCCGCGUGGGUGAAGAAGCGCCUCGGCGCGUAAAGCCCUGUCAGCAGGGAAGAAAUGACGGUACCUGAGUAAGAAGCCCCGGCUAACUACGUGCCAGCAGCCGCGGUAAUACGUAGGGGGCAAGCGUUAUCCGGAAUUACUGGGUGUAAAGGGAGCGUAGACGGUGAUGUAAGUCUGGAGUGAAAGGCGGGGGCCCAACCCCCGGACUGCUCUGGAAACUAUGUGACUGGAGUGCAGG
rnacentral:rRNA from 1 species